rnacentral:ncRNA from 1 species
CAGGGCCCCUAGAAAGAGUUAUCUUUUAUUUUUAACAACUUUCCCACCCUGAAAUCGACUCAACCAGAGAUAGGGUCCAACAACUGGAAGAACAUCGCACACCUUGCGGUGUCCGGUGCACCCUCGACGACCCUUCAAAAUUUGGAGGAUCGAGUACCAUCCAUGCUCGGUCGUACUCAUAACUCAUUAGGUCUCCAAGGUGAACAACCUCUGCUCAAUAGAACAAUGUAGGUAAGGGAAGUCGACAAAACAGAUCUGUAACUUUGGGAAAAGGAUUGGCUCUAAGGGUUGGGCCUAGGGGUCUGUGUCCUCAACCCGUGGGCUGUCGACAAUCUUAUCAUGAGACUGUCAUUGAUUAAUGCUACCUCUUUUUGAAUGGUAGUGCAACUAAUUAAUGCUACCUCCUUUUGAAUGGUAGUGCAACUACUUCUUCUUUUAGAUUUUAGAAGUGCUUGGGGCAUUUAUCGAGGUGUAAUUUCCAGUAGUCUUGUUGUGUCACCUUCUCUCACAAGACUUGUAACACAUGGUGGGAGGUUUUGUUUCUUGUGUCAUUGCUACAAUAUUCUUCACAACCCACUUCUUAUUCUUCCCAUAAAUCACACCUUGAACCACCACAAAUGACCUCUCAAAAGCAUCCUUUUCCAAUUAGGUAUAUAGGUAACACUAACAUUCUUGAGCACUAGGUAUGGGUCUCGGGGCAUUGACAUGGUCAAGGGAGGAAACAUGAACUUUAGGCCUUAAAGGAAGAUUUUAAUGAGCCAGGGACAAUAAGGAUGCCUCGUAUAACCACACAAGGCCUUCUGAGGGUAUUCCAAACUAUGGUUUGGGAUGUCGGUGCCACUAGGUGUUUUUGAGUAGUAGGUAUGUGUCUCAAGGUAUUGGAAAUUAUAUAGGGAAGAAGGCCAUGCCUUAGGUUCUAAAUAAAUCUUUUA